UUUUUGGAGAGUUUGAUCCUGGCUCAGGACGAACGCUGGCGGCGUGCCUAACACAUGCAAGUCGAACGGAGAAUUCAAUAAGCUUGCUUAGAGAAUUCUUAGUGGCGGACGGGUGAGUAACGCGUGGGUAACCUACCCAUAAAGCCGGGACAACCCUUGGAAACGAGGGCUAAUACCGGAUAAUCUUAAGCUUUGGCAUCAAAGUAUAAGGAAAGGUGGCCUCUAAGUAUGCUACCGAUUAUGGAUGGACCCGCGUCUGAUUAGCUAGUUGGUGGGGUAAAGGCCUACCAAGGCGACGAUCAGUAGCCGGCCUGAGAGGGUGAACGGCCACACUG
rnacentral:ncRNA from 1 species